CAAUGUAGAAACCAGAAUUAUACAUUCACCGUACUUACUCAAAGAGCUAAAAAUAAAAUUAUUUAAUCAAGUCAUAUACCUAAAUGCACCCAUAAUUUAUUAUACAUAUUGUGUAAAUUAUUAUUUUUAAGGAAAACUUAAAUUAUUAGUACGUAGAGCAACGAACUAAUUUCUCUCCCUUACCAAUAGCAAGCAACCCAAACGUUGAGAUAAUUCCAUUUAAUAUAAGAAAAAGUCAAUAAAAUAUAAGAUAAUUUGUUAUUUUUGAAAGUACAGGGGGUGCAGAAAGAAAAUACGAAAGGCGCAGAAAGAUUUUGUCUUCUCCAAUCGCUAAACUCCUAGAGUUUAUCAAUGGUGCUUUGGGUCUGGGCCUUGAGGGGCAAGUCUUGCAGGCUUAAGUGGGCUUUCUUGAAAUUCGGAGAAGACGAGCCUGACAUUAGAACGGGCCUGGGCUCCGUAGCUUGAACGUUGGGGUAGAAAGGUGUUGAAAGUAAGUGGAGUUUGGAGUGGACGAGAUUCAGUGGUUAAUAAGAGGAGCAGAAACACAAGGCAGAAGAAGAAGAAGGGUUUGGAUUUGAACAUGUUGACGGAAUGAAUAAUGUGUGUGUGUACGAGAAUGUGUGAGACGGUGCAGAGGUAGAAAGUAU
rnacentral:lncRNA from 1 species